AAAUUGAAGAGUUUGAUCAUGGCUCAGAUUGAACGCUGGCGGCAGGCCUAACACAUGCAAGUCGAACGGUAACAGGAAGCAGCUUGCUGCUUCGCUGACGAGUGGCGGACGGGUGAGUAAUGUCUGGGAAGCUGCCUGAUGGAGGGGGAUAACUACUGGAAACGGUGGCUAAUACCGCAUAACGUCGCAAGACCAAAGAGGGGGACCUUCGGGCCUCUUGCCAUCAGAUGUGCCCAGAUGGGAUUAGCUAGUUGGUGAGGUAACGGCUCACCAAGGCGACGAUCCCUAGCUGGUCUGAGAGGAUGACCAGCCACACUGGAACUGAGACACGGUCCAGACUCCUACGGGAGGCAGCAGUGGGGAAUAUUGCACAAUGGGCGCAAGCCUGAUGCAGCCAUGCCGCGUGUAUGAAGAAGGCCUUAGGGUUGUAAAGUACUUUCAGCGGGGAGGAAGGUGUUGUGGUUAAUAACCGCAGCAAUUGACGUUACCCGCAGAAGAAGCACCGGCUAACUCCGUGCCAGCAGCCGCGGUAAUACGGAGGGUGCAAGCGUUAAUCGGAAUUACUGGGCGUAAAGCGCACGCAGGCGGUCUGUCAAGUCGGAUGUGAAAUCCCCGGGCUCAACCUGGGAACUGCAUUCGAAACUGGCAGGCUUGAGUCUUGUAGAGGGGGGUAGAAUUCCAGGUGUAGCGGUGAAAUGCGUAGAGAUCUGGAGGAAUACCGGUGGCGAAGGCGGCCCCCUGGACAAAGACUGACGCUCAGGUGCGAAAGCGUGGGGAGCAAACAGGAUUAGAUACCCUGGUAGUCCACGCCGUAAACGAUGUCUACUUGGAGGUUGUGCCCUUGAGGCGUGGCUUCCGGAGCUAACGCGUUAAGUAGACCGCCUGGGGAGUACGGCCGCAAGGUUAAAACUCAAAUGAAUUGACGGGGGCCCGCACAAGCGGUGGAGCAUGUGGUUUAAUUCGAUGCAACGCGAAGAACCUUACCUGGUCUUGACAUCCACAGAAGAAUCCAGAGAUGGAUUUGUGCCUUCGGGAACUGUGAGACAGGUGCUGCAUGGCUGUCGUCAGCUCGUGUUGUGAAAUGUUGGGUUAAGUCCCGCAACGAGCGCAACCCUUAUCCUUUGUUGCCAGCGGUCCGGCCGGGAACUCAAAGGAGACUGCCAGUGAUAAACUGGAGGAAGGUGGGGAUGACGUCAAGUCAUCAUGGCCCUUACGACCAGGGCUACACACGUGCUACAAUGGCGCAUACAAAGAGAAGCGACCUCGCGAGAGCAAGCGGACCUCAUAAAGUGCGUCGUAGUCCGGAUUGGAGUCUGCAACUCGACUCCAUGAAGUCGGAAUCGCUAGUAAUCGUGGAUCAGAAUGCCACGGUGAAUACGUUCCCGGGCCUUGUACACACCGCCCGUCACACCAUGGGAGUGGGUUGCAAAAGAAGUAGGUAGCUUAACCUUCGGGAGGGCGCUUACCACUUUGUGAUUCAUGACUGGGGUGAAGUCGUAACAAGGUAACCGUAGGGGAACCUGCGGUUGGAUCACCUCCUUA
rnacentral:rRNA from 2 species